AUUGAACGCUGGCGGCAUGCUUUACACAUGCAAGUCGGACGGUAACAGGGAGCUUGCUCCGCUGACGAGUGGCGAACGGGUGAGUAAUGCGUCGGAACGUGCCGAGUAGUGGGGGAUAACGCAUCGAAAGGUGUGCUAAUACCGCAUACGUACUGAGGUAGAAAGUGGGGGACCUUCGGGCCUCACGCUAUUCGAGCGGCCGACGUCUGAUUAGCUAGUUGGUGAGGUAAAGGCUCACCAAGGCGACGAUCAGUAGCGGGUCGGAGAGGAUGGUCCGCCACACUGGGACUGGGACAGGGCCCAGACGCCUACGGGAGGAAGCAGUGGGGAAUUUUGGACAAGGGGCGCAAGCCUGAUCCAGCCAUCCCGCGUGUCUGAAGAAGGCCUUCGGGUUGUAAAGGACUUUUGUCCGGGAGCAAAUGCCUGGUGUUAAUAGCACUGGGAGCUGAGAGUACCGGAAGAAUAAGCACCGGCUAACUACGUGCCAGCCGCCGCCGUAA
rnacentral:rRNA from 1 species